UUCUGCAGACCAGCUAAAUGAAGCCACAUUAAAUCACUUUGAGGGACAGUGGGGGUCAUGUGCUGAAAAGUUUGGGAACCCCUGAUCUAGAGAACUAAAUUGGUUUUAAUGUUAUAAGUAACAUUGCUAACACUUUGCUCAGUUAUAGAGAAACACAAACUAUUGUAAUGACUGGUUAGCAAGUGGCUACCUCUGCAGUUUGAAAUUAAGCUAAUGUGGAAGUGUAGUUCCUUGAGUGUCCACUUGAGGCAGGCUGCAGACGCUACGACAUAACGGAAAAAGCUGAUUUUCACAGCAGAAUGAAACAUGUUUACAGCCGAGCACAAGAACAGAUUUGGUCCGUAUACCUCAUGUCUUUAUUCAUGACAGCAGCACAGGAGUUUAAUUAUUCUCUAACUUCUCUAUUCUGAGUUCAGAGUUUGUUCGAUCAGGGCCUCAGCUCCAACUCUUUCUAGUUUCAGGAGAGAAGCCAAAGGGAGUCAGUUGGAGUCAGCAUUUCCAAUAUGGCGACCUCAGUCUUUGGGCUUCAUAAGACCUCUUCAGAAACCACCAGUAGUUGGAGUUGUGUGUGGUGGUGGAGUCGCUCGGUAAGGAGCCUCGGCGCGGUGAGGGCUUCCGACAGAGCAGCAGCAGACGGAGCUCCGGGGACACGCUGCUGGAGAAGGCAGAGUAGAUCCAGGGGUUGGUGCAGGAGUUCAGACUGGCCAGCAGCAUCAGCAGGGUGAAGACUGCACCUGCACACAACAGACAGGAGGAGACUGUGAUGACGAGGGCCGGGAGGAUGAAGACUGCCAGGGUCAUCCAGGUCACGUAGGCUUUGAGGCCCCAGGACUCUGCAAAGUUCCCCCAACACUCGUAGACACCUGGAGCCACUUCUGAACGCGAGAAGAUGAAGACCUGGAGAGGGAGAGAGGCUGAGCAGCAGUGACAGCCCCCAGGCCAGCAGUAUGAAGCUGUUCCAGCGCUGAGUGGCUCCGCUGCGGUGCGCCAGCAGGGGGCAGCAGAUGGCGUAGUGACGGUCCAUCGUCAUCGCAACGAUCAUGUAGGAGGAGGCGAACAUCCCGAGGACCUGCAGGUCGGCCACGCAGAGGUUGAGCAUGAACUGAUGCAGCGGGUUGUGGUGUCGUCUCCGCCUCAGCAGCACCACCAGCACCAGCCCGUUCCCGAGCAGCGCCAUCACCAGGAUGACCGCCAGCACCACCACCUCAGCCACCGCCAGGAGGCUGUCACGCUGCCAGCCGGUGACGUUUCUGCCCGCGGGGGUCACAGAGACGACCGACCAGUCGAGGGGCGGAUGCUCAGCGUCUGCGGCCCCGUGCUCUGAACGGCGUUCAUGAUGGACUGGACCACGUCAGAGGUGGAGCCUUUUCCUCCGAGGUCAGCAGUGUGCAGCUGCAGAGCGACAGAGAGGAGAGGGACAGAGAUGGCUCUGCGGAUCAUGCUGGCGUAGCCGUGGAGCUUCAGGUGGUCUAGCAGGAGGCAGGAGGCCAACAGCAUGCCCGUGGGGUUCGCGGUGUUAUGGUUCGCGAUGCUCUUCCCGGUGUUCCUGGUCCCCUGCACAGAGAAUAACAUGUUUACAGUUCAUGAGUGGAGAAGUGCUGUAAAGUGAAGUGGAAUCCUCUGGAUGUGUUAGUGUUGAAGUGUGGAAGCUCAUGUUUGUUGCCCGUUUUCUUAACUUUCCUUGGAUCUUUGGAUUCUGUGGAUCUGUGAAGGAGCCCGUUCUGGAUUUAUCUGCCUUUGCUGACAGUGCAACACCAUUACGUCUGAUAGCCAUGAUUGCAUUAUUGAUAUCAUCCUCUGACGCCAUGGACGAGUCCACAUUAACCACUUCGAAAUCCACCGGCACGCAGCAGAACCUGAUGACGGAAAGCAGACGGGGAUCAGCUCCACUCUGCGUGUCAGAGCUGAGUCAUUCAGUGACUGUGUGAGGAGGUUACUAACAGCCUGCAUCUCAAUAUCAGGGACAAGGUCAAUAUUACUGAUCCAUCAUCACACUAUUAAUGUGCAACACUCAACGGGGAAGGUUCUUUAUUGGCACAUGGAGCUGCAGCUGUACUAACACACGGACCAAUGAGACAAAGUCAGGUCAAUGAAUGAAUGAAGUUACAGGAGCUUACAGCUGAAUUUAAACCUGAAAACAUGUUAAAUGUUCAUAAAUGUUUGACUUUCACCAUCUCGUGUGAUAUCACUUUCCAUUAUCAUCAUGUGACAUUACAUUGAAUACAUCUUUGCAAUCUUAACUUCAUUAUAUGUGACACAAUAUAAGUUUUUACCACCUCAUAAUACCACUGACCAUUAAAAUGUCAAUAAUGCGAUUACAUUCGUGCU